rnacentral:rRNA from 1 species
UACGAGUGGCCCAAGCGUUAUCCGGAAUUAUUGGGCGUAAAGGAUGUGUAGGUGGUUGUAUUAGUCCGAUGUCUAACCUCUGAGCUCAACUUGGAGACAGCAUUGGAAACGGUACGACUAGAGUAUGUUAGGGGUAAGCGGAACUCAUAGUGUAGGGGUGAAAUCCGUUGAUAUUAUGGGGGAACACCAAAAGCGAAGGCAGCUUACUGGAACAUUACUGACACUGAAACAUGAAAGCGUGGGUAGCGAAUGGG